CGGGGGCUCGCGCUGGGGGCUCCGCGGCGGUACUGGGACGCAGCGUGUGCAGGGCUCGCCCGGGCGUACGCCCCAGGCCGCCCUUCCCUGCGUCGUCCCAUGGCGCGGGGCCGUCGGCCUGCCUGAGGCUGGACCGAGCUCUGCUGCGCCGGCCCCAGGAGACGAGGCGUCUCAGCGCUGCGCUCGUCUUCCCAGCCCAGUGGAACGUCGCCAGCGCCAGGAGCAGGCGGUAAUCACACCACAGGGCAGCACUGCCUCACUUCAUGCAAAUCUGUACCACCAGCUACAGAUCGCUCAGUCGACCACACAGACGAAGGCUCUGGGCAGUGACGGCGCAGAGAACAGCACACUGCCGGCGCGCCCGCGGGAAGCCUCUGGAGCGCGGGGACAGGUUCCCAGGAAGGAGCGUGAGCAGAGGGCUGUGGCCGUGCUGCCAGGACAGUGGUCUAGGGACCCGGGCUGAAAACGACGAGAGGUUGGGCUCUUCAGUUGAGACCGAAAUAAAUGAUGAGUAAGUUAAGGUCAGACAAGGUGAGGAAGGGAAUGCAGAGGAGAAAGAUGCCAGAAAGUGAGAGUUUGGCUUCAUCAUGAAGCUGGAAGGAGGUACAGUCAGGUUAGCAAGGUCUUAGAUCAUACAGGCAAGAACAAACAGUAAGAGGACGCAAGGCAAGAUGGUGAAGACUUGCACUUACGCUUAGAAUUUAGACUUUAGACUCCAUGAGACAGGGGAUCAGGGGAAUAAAGAUAGUGAGUUAUGGGGUUGACUAGAGUAGUUGACCUAGUCAUCAAAGAAAAAUAAGCACUUGAAAGAUCAUGAAUAGAACAUACUACCCUCGAGGGUGCUUUCUCCAAUUGCCAUACCCAGAAGUAAAUUAAGCAGCAAAUGAAUACUACAACCCUAUACAAGCAGGGUGACCAAGGCUCACAACCCAGGUUGCCCCAUUGGCCAAUCACCAAACCAAGAGGCCAGCUGAAGCUGUAGGGAGCGUGGAAACUUCCAUCCCAGUGAUAGUAAAGAAGACUGUUGCCUUUUACUAUUAUUUUCCUGGAUGCCAAGAGAGUAUUUAAUAGACACUCCCUUGCAUAUCAAGCCCCCUUGUCCUUUUUAAACAGAAAUAGCAUAAUACUUUUUCCUUCAUUUCCUUUUCCUUUUACCAGCAAAAGGAAAUGUUUUGAUACAUGGAGAUAAGCUUUUGGUAGAAGGAAAGGAAAAAUGGACAUCAUGUAGGAAGUCUGUAGAGGGCAUGACAUCACCUCUGGUUGGCGAGGACACGGCUUUGGGUUCUCCCCCACUGGAAAUAUUACCAAUCCUUUUGUGGUAGUACAGGAAAUAACCGAAUCAUGUGUCUUUGUAAGAAUGGGAAAAAGAGAGUGUGUAUGUGUGUUGUGAUGUAUGUGGUAUGUGUAUAGGGUGGGGGUGUUGGGAUAUAUAUGUGUAUGUAUGCUGUGCCACCAAGAAGUAGAACAUUAUAGGCACUCCAUGAAAUGUUUUCCUAUAGCUCACCAUGAUUCCUCUUUUUGCAGGAAUGGCCCUAAUACACAGGGAAAUCCCUUGAAUGGCCAUAUAGGCAUGUACUAGUUGCCAUGCUCUAAGAUGACCAACAUCCUGAUUUGCCCAAGGUUGAGGGGUAUCUUAGGAUGCUGUAUUUUUUGUGCUUUAACUGGGAUAGUCCUGGGAAAACUGGGAAUAGUUGGUCACACUAUCAUGUCCUCUAUGUAACAGAUUAGUCUUAGAGGGACACAUGCUAAACCAGGCCAUUUGAACUCUUCACCCCAGGAAUUUUACAUAUUGACAUAGGGAAACACAGAGAGGAGAUGGCCAUUAGAGCUGAGUCACAUAAAUGGCAGUGCCCCAAAGAAAAGAUGUAUUAAACCCUUUGCCAAGGACCCAGGACCUGCCCUGCUUCCUUUGCUUACAGAAGAUGUCCCUGUGUGCUUCCAAAACUGUUUUGCUUGACUAAGCAAAGAAGGCUUCUGCUGCUUGCAACCAAAGUAAUCUUAAGGAGUGUACCCUAUCUCUUUCUUCCAUAAUCUUCUUCCAGAUUUGCUUCCAAUCUGCUGAAUGAUCAGUGAGCCACAUGACCCACACUCAUUGCCCUAGCAGACGGGUAGGUGUAGAUGCAACCCAAAUAGGCUAAGAGAGUCUCUCAUGCACGGAUUUUGGAGUUUACAACUCAUCUCUCUUUCAUGUUGAGAUAGCAACAUCGUGUGGACCUAGGAUUGGGUUAGGCGUGACCAAGACGUUCAAAGGGUGAAGGAACUGGAGGGCAGAGGCGGAAGAUGAGGAGAGAAAGAAGGGAAAAGAGGAGACAGUAUCUGACAGGUCCCAAAGAGAUCUCAAUCUACAGAGAUAGAUAACAUUCUUGCAAUCCCUGAGAAAGCGUCAGUUUCUCUGAGAAGCUGGACUCUCCCCGGGGUCCUCCCAGGAUUCCAGGCACUCACAUGUCCUGCAAAACAUGAAGAGUGAUCUGCAGUGGGCUCCUUAUAGUUCACCCCUAGCAGCUCAUAUGAAUUUACUAAGAUCAAUUGAAUUUAACAUGUGAAAUAAAGGUAUUACACAAAAGUGCCCAAAUAAAAAGUAUAAUAUUACCCCAAA